AGCAUAUCCCAAGAUGAAGAUCAUUCUGUUGCUGCUGUCAAUUCUGGAGAGCACUUGCUUCCAGGCCUGACAACGGCUCUAAGUCCUAUAUGCAGAAGCGAAUUGCCGCGCCUCAAGGUGUGCGCCUACUUUGGAUGCUUUUUGAACAUAUCGCAGGACGAUCUGGAGAUCCUGAACUGUGCGCGCGAGCAGCGAGGAUUGGGACCUCUGGUCUUCUAUUCGGAGGGAAAGUGUCCCAAACUCGUGGUGCCCAAGUGCAAAACUUUUGAGUUUUAAAUGAAGUUUAUAGAAAAUGUUUUACAUUUAUUCAAGUUCAAGUAUAUUAUAAAAUGAUAUGGUACUUUAA